rnacentral:rRNA from 1 species
GUUUUGGAGUUCGACUAGCAUGCGAGUCGAAUGUAGCAAUACAUGGCGUACUGCUCAGUAACACGUGGACAACCUACCCUUAGGACAGGUAUAAACCCGGGAAACUGGGUAUAAUCCCUGAUAGUCCUCGGCUGCUGGAAUGCAUCGAGGACGAAAGCUCCGGCGCCUAAGGAUGGGUCUGCGGCCUAUCAGGUAGUAGUGGGUGUAACGUACCUACUAGCCUACGACGGGUACGGGUUGUGAGAGCAAGAGCCCGGAGAUGGAUUCUGAGACACGAAUCCAGGCCCUACGGGGUGCAGCAGGCGCGAAAACUUUACAAUGCCGGCAACGGCGAUAAGGGGACCUCGAGUGCCAGGUUACAAAUCUGGCUGUCGUGAUGCCUAAAAAGCAUUGCAUAGCAAGGGCCGGGCAAGACCGGUGCCAGCCGCCGCGGUAACACCGGCGGCUCGAGUGGUAACCGUUAUUAUUGGGUCUAAAGGGUCUGUAGCCGGCCGGAUAAGUCUCUUGGGAAAUCCAGCAGCUCAACUGUUGGGCUUUCAGGAGAUACUGUUCGGCUCGAGGCCGGGAGAGGUGAGAGGUACUUCAGGGGUAGGGGUGAAAUCUUGUAAUCCUUGAAGGACCACCAGUGGCGAAGGCGUCUCACCAGAACGGACCUGACGGCAAGGGACGAAAGCUAGGGGCACGAACCGGAUUAGAUACCCGGGUAGUCCUAGCCGUAAACGAUACUCGCUAGGUGUCGGCCACGGUGCGACCGUUGUCGGUGCCGUAGGGAAGCCGUGAAGCGAGCCACCUGGGAAGUACGGCCGCAAGGCUGAAACUUAAAGGAAUUGGCGGGGGAGCACCACAACGGGUGGAGCUUGCGGUUUAAUUGGAUUCAACGCCGGG